rnacentral:piRNA from 1 species
UGCUUAUAGUUUAUCUGUUUGCAUGGCCCC